rnacentral:rRNA from 2 species
ACGCAGCGAAAUGCGAUAAGUAAUGUGAAUUGCAGAAUUCAGUGAAUCAUCGAAUCUUUGAACGCACAUUGCGCCCGCCAGUAUUCUGGCGGGCAUGCCUGUUCGAGCGUCAUUUCAACCAUCAAGCCCCCGGCUUGUGUUGGGGACCUGCGGCUGCCC